GAUGAAGAACGUAGCGAAAUGCGAUAAGUAAUGUGAAUUGCAGAAUUCAGUGAAUCAUAGAAUCUUUGAACGCAUCUUGCGCUCCUUGGUAUUCUGAGGAGCAUGCCUGUUUGAGUGUCAUUAAAUUCUCAACUACACUGACUUUGAAUUGGUGUGGCUUGGAUUUGGGGGGAAAAUUGUUGUGGGCUUUUUGUAUAGUCUGCUCCCCUGAAAUUGAUUAGCGGUACCUUUGUGGAACUGUCUACAGGUGUGAUAAUUAUCUACAUCUUAGACAUCUGCUGGAAUGCUGCUCUCUAAACCUUACUUGUAUUGACAAUCUUGACCUCAAAUCAGGUAGGACUACCCGCUGAACUUAAGCAUAUCAAUAAGCGGAGGA
rnacentral:misc_RNA from 1 species